UUCACUCCCGUUGUUUGGCAAGUGGGAGGAAGUGUCACAGCUCUUUUAUUUCUGCCACCCACAGCUUGGUGAGUAGGAGCAUUACAGCUCUUUUGCUCCCACAGUUCAGCAAAUUCUGAGUUCCUGUCCCAUGACCAAGAGGAAUGAGGAACAUGGACACCGGAGAAUGAGUAAGGCAGAGUAGAAUUUUAUUCAUCAGCGAGAGGGGACCUGAAAGCAGGUCGCCAUCUGUGAGGAUUAAAGUUAGGACCAAAUGCUGCUCAGAAAUUGUUUUAAUCUCAAAAGUAGUUGGCAAGUUUUCAGAGUUCAUUUUCAAGGCCUGGUGUAUGCAAAUCAUCCAUUGGACCUGGCAUUUUAAAAGUCUGCUGGAUUUGUGUAUUUAGUGAAGAGUAGGAGGUUUUCUGAGAAGGAAAAAUAGCUUCAUGAAACCAUGGACAUGGCUGUGGAGAAGGCGUUGCAUUGGUUACAUGAAAACCGUGUGACAACCUUGGAAGUCUGAAAGAGCAGGAGAGAGGCUAAGCACACACAUAUUGUGAUUUUAAGAGUCUCAAGGGCUGACACAAGCUGAGAUGAGGAAAUAUGACCUCCUACACGUGUUUUCCAUGAGGAAUAUGUUUGCUGUGCAGUCACUGAGUUAAAAGCAACCUUCAUUCCCUUGUGCACCAAGGUAAUUUGGAAAACAAGCCAGAGAAGUCAGGACUGCUAUUUCUCAGUCUGAUUUAACCAUUGACAGACUAUUUUUACAUCCACUAUGGAGAUGUUCAGGUGAGAUAAACACCGCAGAGAAUACUGAGGAAACACUUACUUUCACAUGAGUAAUACAUUAUGAUAACUCACAUCUUCUAAUAAUAUAAUCUUGUUUUGAAUUCAAACAACUUUCAUACUAUUUGGUGUAGUGCCUGAAUCUAAUCCUGUUUCUACCAUCUAGCUUUCUCAUACAGAAUACCUAAUGAAAUUUGCCCUUCACUGUUACUUGAAUUCAAUUAAGGUGAUGCUAUCUCUGUUCUGUGUUCUGAUAAACUCACUGAGGUAUCACUUUCUCUGAUAAAUACCCAGGUAUCUUAAUGAGGUCAAUGUCACUACUUGUUUAAUUAACUUUUAUUUUCUGUAAUUCACAUACUGGUGGUUUCCACUGGGAUGUCUUAUUAAAAGAAAGUGCUGUUAUUAAAUAUAGAGUAAAAAUCAUUCCUGUAUAACUCCAUAGUUGAGAGUAUUGAAGCUCUUAUACAAUUCUUUCAAUGAAAUGUUUUGUGAAAUUAUAAGCUAAUGCUCACUAUUUCAAAGACACUAAGUAAAGUUGUGUCUAUGUUUUGAAAAAGAAAUUAUUAACCAUGUUUUACCUUAACUCUUUGCUAGAAGCUCUCUGGAUAUUCUGAUCAAAAGCCUAGGUGGGAUGUAAUUUAUUAACCAUAACAGCUUGUUAAGCCUUGGAUUACUCAAAAUUGUUCCUAAAAUUGUUGAGCAAUUUAAUGUAUUGGAUAGAGACCUUUAGCUUUAAAAAUGAUACUACUGAAUAUGAAAAUAUAGAAUCUAUUGCUAAUCCACGAAGAGAGGCAAAUGUCCUCUGGGUGUGUAUGGCAGAUGCUCCUGACAGCAAUAACUUAACCAUACCCCGAGAAUGACCCUACCUUCUAAGAAGAAUGUGUGUUUGGAGUUCUAAGCAAGAAACCUGGGGGUAGCCAACUGGAGAUUCAUUCCUUAUGUAUGAAGGAUAUCUGAUCCAUUGGCCUAUCCCUUGGAAUGCAGACCAUACAGGGGAUUGAAGCCCUUUGUUUGGGGUUAAAUGGGGGUUGCUACGUGGAGUGUGCAAAGUGAAAAUUGCUAUAUAGACCACAUGCUUUUACAAGUGGUAGCAUCUGUCCUGUCCAGCCCACUACCACUGGACCAUCCCAUACGUA
rnacentral:lncRNA from 1 species